rnacentral:ncRNA from 1 species
GCUAUACUUAUAAAGUUGGUUUGUCAAAUGCAACUCUAUCAAGAGGGGUUCAUUGGCAAAGAUCAACCCUUGGUGCUUAGCUUCUUUCACCAAGCAUAUUAGAGCGGAAAAACCGCUAAAGGAGAAAACGAU